GACGAACGCUGGCGGCGUGCUUAACACAUGCAAGUCGAACGAAACUACCAAGCUUGCUUGGUUGAUUAGUGGCAAACGGGUGGGUAACGCCCGAGUAACCUGCACCUUACUUUGCUGGAGAACUUCACGAAGGGGUAGCUAAUACGGGAUAUUCUUUCCAGCCUGCAUGUGGGGGUGUGGAAAGUUUGUUUUUCUGUUAAGGGAUGGGCUCGCGGCCUAUCAGCUUGUUGGUGGGGUGAUGGCCUACCAAGGCGUUGACGGGUAGCUGGCCUGAGAGGAUGAACGGUCACACUGGGACUGAGACACGGCCCAGACUCCUACGGGAGGUAGCAGUGGGGAAUAUUGCACAAUGGGCGCAAGCCUGAUGCAGCGACGCCGCGUGAGGGAUGAAGGCCUUCGGGUUGUAAAGCUCUUUUACCCGGGAUGAUAAUGACAGUACCGGGAGAAUAAGCUCCGGCUAACUCCGUG
rnacentral:rRNA from 1 species